GUCUUCAUUGGUGUAACUAGCUCUUUAACAUAAAAAUCUGCAUCUCUCUCCCUUCUCACCCAGUUAUCCCCGUACAUCCUUUCAGUAUCCAAAGAAUUUUUUCUGUAUUUUACUGUGUGGACAUACUCUUUCCUUCCAUGUUCCACUGUCGUAUGUUAUUCCACAUCUAACACAACCACAUCCCAACAGAUCCGAACACGUCCGAUAUCAUCCAAGAGAAUGUGGCAGCUGAAGGGGGAAAGUCCAAGAAAGAGGCCAAAGGUGAAGACAUUUAGCCACCCCCCCUGAAGUACAUGGCAGCAUUCAACCCUCUUGGUGAGCUGCAGGAAUGUGCUUCCCAUUGCAGUGCACCAGCUCCAUGUACUGAUUUUGGGUGUGAACUUGAUGGGGUUGGAGGAAACUCGACUCGGCCAUCAAGCUCACCACAAUAUAACAUGAAAAGUGAAAAUUGCUGCACACAACAGUCUGCCGUCUGCACCGGGAGGCAAGGCAGCUCAAAGCCCAGGCUGUUACAACUCCUGGGCAGUUUUUGCCCAGAGCCAGCAAUUUUUUAGAUCCAAUAGGGGUGGAUUUUUUCUGAGGUCAGGUUCAACAUGCUGCAAGAUGCCAAGAUCUAAGCCUAGUAGAAGAUAUGGGUUACAAGAAAGGAGGUUUGCUCUGGCCUUAUACUAUCAAAGUCCAAAUGCUAAUAGAUUUCUGAGCACAGUAUUUCACUUGCCUUCAGUUUCAACACUUCACUCAUGACUCAGGGGUAUUUCAGUAAAUGUUGGCUGGAGCAAACAGACUCUGACAGCCCUGCAGCAAAGAGCACAGGCUUUGUCAAAAGAAGAGAAACUUCGUGGGAUUUGCCAUUAUUUAGUAUUACUCUUGUUACGCCAAGAAUUUUUUUCCAUAUACUUUGUAAAUCAGAUCUUGUUCAAUUAAGAAGCUUUGGGUGUCUGCCACUUUCCAGUUGUAAUGCAAGGAAUCAUUUAUCUUCCCUGCUAGAUAUCGCAUAUGUAAUGCACCAUUGUUGGUUUUGCCUGUUAUAAAUCAGAUCUUGUUCAGUUAACAAGCUUUAGGUGUCUGCCACUUUCCAAUUCUAAUGCAAGGAAUCCCCUGCCAGAUAUCGCAUGUAAUGCACCAUUGUUGGUCUUGCCUGUUAAAAAUCAGGUCUUGUUCAGCUCACAAGUUUUGAAUAUCUGCCAUUGUUUAUUUCAGGUGUAAUGCUUGGAAGCAUUUGUUCUCUUCCCUAGCCAUCAGUAUGCAAUGCUUUAUUGUGGAUUUUGCCUGUUAUAUUUAAUCUUGUUCAGGUAACAAGCUUUUGGUGUCUGCCUUACCUAAUAAUGUGCUGCAGUGACACUUGGCUUGGUUUCAUAAUGUAAAAUACAGCUUGUAAUUUCAUCACACUAAGUGUCUAUCAUCACGUGUCUGGCAUCAUUAAUGUGGCGUCCAGGAGUAAUCUUGUUUGUAUUACAGCAUGCAAUGUUUUUGACAAAAGGUAAUGGCAGUUAAUAUUCUUGACUAAUGCCUCAUAAACCUUGUGAAAAAUAAUGUUUUUUUGAGGGGGGGAGGGGGGGGGGGCAGAGAGUGGUUUGUUUGGUUGGACAGUUCAAGGAGUUUCAUAUCAAAUGAUUUUAUUACAUCCAACUUUAAUGUGUGGUUCCUGCAAUAAAUGCUACAUGUUUACUGAUGUAGCCUAUGAAAUACAUAUCACUCUCUGCCCUGUAAUUUGGUGUGUCACAUACUGCAGCAUAACUUUCCUGCUAUUUUUUUUACACUGAGUUGCCUUAUUUUGUCUCAUUUGCUUUUAUCAUAUGUACCUCCGCUGCAUAGUUGUGCCUACUGAGCUUAAUAUCUUCAUGACCAUGACACCAAGGUCAGAGCUUGUGAGAUCAUAUCGUGUCCUACAUCUCAUUUUCACCUCCAGUCUCGGCUGUCUCCCAGGACCACCAAGUUAUUGCAUUCCAUUUAAGACAACUCAUGUGUUACCUUCUUGAUGUCCUCCAUCAUGUAUUUCAGAAUGUUUUAUGGUGCUUUGCUCUUAUAUUGAUGUGCCUUGCAACAUUUUUUAUACAGUUUUCAUUGUAUAUAACGCACCAUUGUUGGUUUUGCCUGUUAUAAAUCGGGUCAUGUUCAGUUAACAAGCUUUGAGUGUCUCCCAUUGUUUAUUUCAGUUGUAAUGAUUAGAAACUUUUGUUCUCUGCCCUGUCAAGCAGUAUGCAAUGCUUGCCAUUAUCUGGCACUUGUACAGUUAGUAUGAUAUUUUUGCUCAGCUAAGAGCAUGUUGCAAAAGGUAAAGGUACGGUUGGGGGCAUAUGCUGUAGCAGCGCGUGGCCUCAGUGCUCAUCUCUGUAACAUUGGCCCUUGAGCCUGUGGUGUUAGGGGACCCAUUACCCUGGGACACAGGACCAGUGUGACAUCCAGGUUACCACAGUUGCAAAGGCAUUAUAGUAAUCUAGCAUGCAUAGAAUGUUGUAUGCUUUGCUUGUAUUUAAAGCACUGGAUAUGUUUGCUACACACA